rnacentral:rRNA from 1 species
UGAAAGCUUGCUGGAUAUAUAGCUUAGUGGCGGACGGGUGAGUAACACGUGAGCAACCUGCCUUUCAGAGUGGAAUAACGUUUGGAAACGAACGCUAAUACCGCAUAACGUCAGAGGAUGGCAUCAUUCUUUGACCAAAGAUUUAUCGCUGAAAGAUGGGCUCGCGGCCGAUUAGGUAGUUGGUGAGAUAAUAGCCCACCAAGCCGACGAUCGGUAGCCGGACUGAGAGGUUGAACGGCCACAUUGGGACUGAGACACGGCCCAGACUCCUACGGGAGGCAGCAGUGGGGGAUAUUGCACAAUGGGGGAAACCCUGAUGCAGCGACGCCGCGUGAGGGAAGACGGCCUUCGGGUUGUAAACCUCUGUCUUCGGGGACGAAUAAAUGACGGUACCCGAGGAGGAAGCCACGGCUAACUACGUGCCAGCAGCCGCGGUAAUACGUAGGUGGCAAGCGUUGUCCGGAAUUACUGGGUGUAAAGGGAGCGUAGGCGGGGAGGCAAGUUGAAUGUCUAAACUAUCGGCUCAACUGAUAGUCGCGUUCAAAACUGCCACUCUUGAGUGCAGUAGAGGUAGGCGGAAUUCCUAGUGUAGCGGUGAAAUGCGUAGAUAUUAGGAGGAACACCAGUGGCGAAGGCGGCCUACUGGGCUGUAACUGACGCUGAGGCUCGAAAGCGUGGGUAGCAAACAGGAUUAGAUACCCUGGUGGUCCACGCCGUAAACGAUGAUUACUAGGUGUGGGGGGACUGACCCCUUCCGUGCCGGAGUUAACACAAUAAGUAAUCCACCUGGGGAGUACGGCCGCAAGGCUGAAACUCAAAGGAAUUGACGGGGGCCCGCACAAGCAGUGGAGUAUGUGGUUUAAUUCG